UACGGGGGGAGCAAGCGUUGUUCGGAUUUACUGGGCGUAAAGGGCGCGUAGGCGGUCAGCACAAGUCAGUUGUGAAAUCUCCGGGCUUAACUCGGAAAGGUCAACUGAUACUGUGCGACUAGAGUGCGGAAGGGGCAACUGGAAUUCUCGGUGUAGCGGUGAAAUGCGUAGAUAUCGAGAGGAACACCUGCGGCGAAGGCGGGUUGCUGGGCCGACACUGACGCUCAUGCACGAAAGCGUGGGGAGCAAACAGG
rnacentral:rRNA from 1 species